UGUGCACUUCCUCUACAGCUUUCAGAGCCUAUCUCAUGAGGGUUGGUUUAGCAAUCACAAGAUAAUAUUAUCUGGAAGUUAGUUACUUGGCGUCUUAGUUUCAGCUGCUGUAACUGAGUACCAUGGGCUGGAGGCUUGAGUGGCAAAUACUUACUUCUCACAGUCAUGGAGGCUGGAAGUCUAAGAUCAGAGAGCUGGCAUGCUUGUGUCCUGGUGAGAGCCUCUUUCAGAUACUUCCUGACGGUUCUUGAAAGAACUUCACUCAUGGAUCCCAGCCCCUCCAUGGUCUCAGCCCCUGCAGUGGAGCAGAAGGAACACACACGGGCCAGGUGCAUCCUUCCUCUCAGAAAGCAGACCCGGGAUGUGAGCUGAGUGUCCCACGACCACAUCGCACCCACUUCCGCAUCCUUAAACCAUGUACGGGCGUCUCACCCAACAGGUCAGCAAUUAAAAGUCCCCUCUGCCCCGCCUUUCUGAGCAGCAUCUUCUCAGCGCUCCAGUCCAUGCGUCCUGGAUCUUUUUUAUUGUUGACCUGUUUCAGAGCCUUCGCAGAUCCAAGCAAGGCCUCACCACUCUGCUUGGGCUUUUGGAGGACAGUUGGUACUUGAACUCCUGUCCCAGUGAAUCAGCUGCUCUGUGCAUUUGACACGUCAUUCUGCUGGCAUGUGUAUGGUUGAAUGUUAUCCUUGCUGUGGUUUUUGGCACUUCCAGGCUGGAGGAGCAAAAAGAAGAAUCGCUUUCUUUUGUCCUGUCUGCUCUUCUCAGCUCUGCCACAAGACCCUUUUGUUCAGACAAGAACAGCCACUGUGGACGGAUACAUGGUGCCCCAGGGAUGGGCUGGACUCUUCAAUUUCUGGCCAGUUGAUGACUCAGUUUCCUUAACUGUAAAAGGAAGGCCCUCCCAAGGCCCUCCAAGUAGCCCUCCUUCUGGCCACUUGGGCUGGAUGUCAGUUUUGGAUUGAAUGCGUUCUGCUUCCAGCACAUGUUCUAAAAGUACAUGUUUGUUGAAAUAAGCUCUUCUUGUCAUUUCUUAUUUUCUCCUUGAAGUGUGUCAAUGAAAAGAAAACAAAUAAAAACAGAAAGCAAAGUUGUUGUUCA